AGUGAACGCUGGCGGUAGGCCUAACACAUGCAAGUCGAACGGCAGCACAGUAAGAGCUUGCUCUUACGGGUGGCGAGUGGCGGACGGGUGAGGAAUACAUCGGAAUCUACUUUUUCGUGGGGGAUAACGUAGGGAAACUUACGCUAAUACCGCAUACGACCUACGGGUGAAAGCAGGGGAUCUUCGGACCUUGCGCGAUUGAAUGAGCCGAUGUGGAUUAGCUAGUUGGCGGGGUAAAGGCCCACCAAGGCGACGAUCCGUAGCUGGUCUGAGAGGAUGAUCAGCCACACUGGAACUGAGACACGGUCCAGACUCCUACGGGAGGCAGCAGUGGGGAAUAUUGGACAAUGGGCGCAAGCCUGAUCCAGCCAUACCGCGUGGGUGAAGAAGGCCUUCGGGUUGUAAAGCCCUUUUGUUGGGAAAGAAAAGCAGCAGGUUAAUACCCCGCUGUUCUGACGGUACCCAAAGAAUAAGCACCGGCUAACUUCGUG
rnacentral:rRNA from 1 species